GAAGAAACCCACCGCGGAUCACCUCAGUCACCUCUCCUCCCUUCCUUCCGCCCGCCGCCUCCCUCUCUAUCUCUCCCCGAUCCAGAUCGACGCCGCCACCCCUCUCUAACCCUAGCUCCCCAUCGCCGGCGGCGGCGCCCUCCUCCCCUCUCCUCCACAUCCGCCGCACCCACCCACCCACCCCCCGCCGCCGUCAAAUCCGCCAUGCCCACAGCUCUUUCUGCCCCACCCCAAACCCUACCCACAGCCGCCGCCGUGCUCCGUCACCGGCGACCUCGCCGCCGCCGCCCCUCUCCCCUCGCCCUAUCUCCAUACCGCACGCGAGGGAGGGAGGGAGGCCCCAAAUCGAAGCGAGCAGCAGCUUCAGGAUCCAGAUCGAGAGGGGCCCCAAAUCGUCACCUUCCUCCACCCCUUGACUCCUCUGUGUCGCCCUACCCCGCGGCUCCCGGGACGCCGAGUCGGACGGGAGGAGCCACCGCCCCGCAGCAUGCGCGCGCCGGUAGGGCGAGGGGAUCGAUGGCGAAGCUCUACGUGCAGGCGGUGCCCCCGCCGGAUCUGAACAAGAACACCGAGUGGUUCAUGUACCUGGGGUCUGGACCACCUACAUCUUCAUCAUCUUCGUCUCCUGGCUCCUCAUCCUCUCCAUCUUCGGCAUGGCCUGGACGCUCGUCAACCUCGGCCACUUCGCGAUUACAUACCACUUCUUCCACUGGAAGAAGGGAACUCCAUUCGCUGAUGACCAGGGGAUGUAUAAUAGGUUGACUUGGUGGGAGCAAAUGGACAACGGCAAGCAGCUUACUCGCAACAGAAAAUUUCUUGUUGUGGUUCCUGUAGUCCUCUAAGUGUUAUUCUGUUUCAAUUUUAUUAAUACUGCUUUUGGGAGCUUAUUUGGCAAGGAACAGCAUGGCAGGAUGUAUGCACAAAGAUUAAUUCUGGCUAGUCAGAAAAACUACACUUAUUCAUUAAUUCUGCAAAGAACACUUGCUAGUAACAUCUAGGUCUAACUGGCAUAUUCACGCCAUUAUACAUGUGUAAGGAUUGGGCAUUGCUCUAUUGCUCUAUUCACGCCAUUAUACAUGUGUAAAAAUUGUUUGAUUAACUUCAUUAUCUUUAAUAAUUUAUUAUUCACUUCCAGUUAGUAGUAACUUAAACUUGGCGGCAAACUGGUUAAAUACUUGGUUGUGAUCACGUUUGCAGUUCAGUUUUAUGUGUUAUUAACUGUUAGUACAAGACAUCAAGUGCACGGCUACUAGUUUGCUUACUAGCUCUUUUCUAUUGGGAUAUGUAUAUAUACGUGUGGAUUUUAAGCAUGGUUCCUGUAUAUGUGAUAAGUGCAUACCACUACAACUCCUCUUUGUCUGGUAUUAUAAGGCCAUUUGAUUGAAUGCUUGAAAAGAUGAGUCGCUAAAGUGAAUGUGCUUCUAAGUCUCAUGUAGUUCCAGAAACACAUGCAUUUAUCUGCCAUGCUCUGUUUUUCCUGAGGAUAAAAUUCCUCUGUAAUUCUUAAAACUCUCCCAUAGUUCUACAAACAUAUUGCAUUGUCAGCCUCAUGUAUCAUCUGUAUUCUUCUUUUGGUCCUGUGGAUAAAGCUCCUCUGCAUUGCUUAAAAGAAUGGGAGUUUGUGAGGGAUGUUCUCAUGUAUUACUGUUAGUGUCGUUCCUUUUCUGUCUUUUGUCAGAUUUUGUUUUUUGUAGUAAUUUAAGUUCUGUUUUGUAGACCUGUUUGUUUGUGUUACUUUUCUGUUAAUUCAUGAAGGACAAGGGAAAACAUGGUUGAAUUUCUUAAUAUGAGCCAAAAAGAGCCACUCUCAUUAUUGUCAUUCUUUUAGAUUCAUGUGUUCUGUUUGACCAUGGCUGUGAUGAUAAACACUUUCAACAAACAUGCCAGUUCUGCUUCUGAAAAUUCAUGACUGAAAAACAUGUCAUACAAGAUCUGUUUAGUACUCAUGUAUUAUGGCCGUGGCUUAUUUAGUCUGUGCUUGCUGUGCCUUGUGUAUUGGAGCCUAAUUAGCUUUUGUUAGGGGAUAAUCUACUGGUUAUAGCAAGAUUUUACUCUUGUGCUGUGGAAUAGAUGGUUCAUGUGUACUGCGAUGUACUAGUUGAACUCCGCUGGCUGUACUAGUCGAACUCUUCCCCUAACUCAUAUCAAUUUUGCUCCUGCUGCUGUACAAGUGAUGCGUGUGUGAUUGUUCAUGGACAGGAACUAGCAAACUUUGUUGUUUUGCAACUGAAUGAACGCAACUUCAGUUUGUAUGUCACCCAGCUUGCUGCUGCGGUGGCUGUCGAUGCCAGCGAGCCUGCAACAUCUGUGAUGAGCUGCAGGACCUGGACACCUAAGCGGGCUCCGCAUCCAAGUCCUGGCCGUCCUCCGCAGCAAGGAGCUGGGCCAAGGGAGCAAACAACACCACUGGUUCCUUCAAGGAUGUGUGCUGCUGGUCGAGUCUUGUGGAGAAGCAAGGCGAAUCGGGCAUUGUCUCAAUUGUUCCGCUGUGGAGUUCGAGGCCUUGGAAAUUUCAAGUUCGAAGCGGCGUGUAGCCCUACGCAGCAAUGAUUUGUUCUGUUUGACUGUAAUAAACUAAAUAUUAUAGUACUGUAAUAGUAGGCAUAUCUGGGUUGUUAUAGACUAUGCACAGAUUGUAAUAGACUAUGUACAUGAGCUCCAGGCCUAUGAAAUUCUCCAUUUGUUCUGUUCUAUUUAAAAUAUUGAUUAUUUGUGUGA